CUUUGAUGAAGUUUUCGGAUGGAUUUAAAACAGCUUAGUGGCGGACGGGUGAGUAACGCGUGGGUAACCUGCCUCACACUGGGGGAUAACAGUUAGAAAUAGCUGCUAAUACCGCAUAAGCGCACGGUUCCGCAUGGAACAGUGUGAAAAACUCCGGUGGUGUGAGAUGGAUCCGCGUCUGAUUAGGUAGUUGGUGAGGUAACGGCCCACCAAGCCGACGAUCAGUAGCCGACCUGAGAGGGUGACCGGCCACAUUGGGACUGAGACACGGCCCAAACUCC
rnacentral:rRNA from 1 species